GACGAACGCUGGCGGCGUGCUUAACACAUGCAAGUCGAACGGAAAGGCCCAGCUUUUUGGGUGUGCGCGAGUCGCACACGGGUGUGAAACGCGUGUGUACCGUCCCUUACACUGGGGUAUAACUUGGGAACAGUGGCGAUAAUACGGGAUGGCAGCUGCUGCUGCAUGGUGGGGGAAGGAUAUUUUUGGCGGUUGGGGAUGGACUCGCGGCCUAUCAGCUUGUUGGUGGGGUAGUGGCUUACCAAGGCGUCGACGGGUAGCCGGCCUGAGAGGGUGACCGGCCACAUUGGGACUGAGAUACGGCCCAGACUCCUACGGGAGGCAGCAGUGGGGAAUAUUGCACAAUGGGCGGAAGCCUGAUGCAGCGACGCCGCGUGCGGGAUGACGGCCUUCGGGUUGUAAACCGCUUUCGACAGUGACGAAGCGUGGGUGACGGUACCGGGAAAAGAAGCACCGGCUAACUACGUG
rnacentral:rRNA from 1 species